rnacentral:rRNA from 1 species
UACGGGGGGGGGCAAGCGUUGUUCGGAAUUACUGGGCGUAAAGGGCUCGUAGGCGGCCAACUAAGUCAUACGUGAAAUCCCUCGGCUUAACCGGGGAACUGCGUCUGAUACUGGAAGGCUUGAGUAUGGGAGAGGGAUGUAGAAUUCCAGGUGUAGCGGUGAAAUGCGUAGAUAUCUGGAGGAACACCGGUGGCGAAGGCGGGUCUCUGGGCCGAUACUGACGCUGAGGCGCGAAAGCUAGGGGAGCGAACAGG